rnacentral:rRNA from 1 species
AUGUCGACACCAUUGAUCGUAUUUUUCAGUACAACAUUGCCGUGGCUGCUCACAGACAAGGUCCUGAGUGCGAGGAAUCCCGAGAUCCCCAUCCGCAAGCUGAGGGUCAGGUUCUGUUUGAGGCCUGAUGAAUGUCUCUCCAUCAGUCAAGCCGUCGCCCGCGCCAUGGCAACCCACAAGAAGCUCGACGUUGCUGAGUUUGUGGUCCUCACGGAGAAGAUUUGUAUGAAAUGCACUGAAGACCAUCUACUCUGCUAUGCCAAGCGCUUCAAUACUUGGAUUGGUGAUUGUCCAGUUGUGUUUGCUGGUCUCACACAUCUGUGGCUGCGCAAUUUGAGGUUUGGUGAACUGGACAUCCCCAAUAUCCUCACCACCUGCAAGCGGUUGGAAUCUCUGCGUCUCACCUAUUGUGACGCAGGGGUCUGUUCCGUGCUUCAAGUAGAACAUGCUCAACUUGUUGAACUCCACAUCGACUAUGGGGAAUUUGAAGCAGUCCAUCUCAACUGCCUACCGAAACUCCAACGUGUCAAAUAUGUUGGUUGGUCUUACCAAGAAGAUCCCCUGAUUUUUGGUUCUGUCCCGCAGCUUUCAAAGCUAACCCUCGAACAAGUUGGUGUUAACUCGACUAGUCAUAUCCAGUUAAGUCAGCUCCUUGCUAAUGUACCCUGGAUAAGCGACCUCCGUCUUGAUUUUAAAAGUGAAAAGAUUUGGGUUCUACCUGAACACCCCAAACUGCUUGCGCCUGUGCUUGGCAAGCUACAGAUUGUGAAUCUGGGUAAUCUUCCUCAAGGAUGCGAUAUUGCUUGGACCAUGUUCAUUCUUGAAGCUGCAAGCUCCCUAAAGGAGCUAUGCAUCACGGUGUGGGAUCAUUGGUGCAAAAUGGAGACAGACAAGGAUGUCCGUAAGGAACUUGGUUACUGUGAGAAAGCAAAUGUGGAGUGGCAAACUGGCAACCAUCCACAGUUCAUUUUAAGCACAAGAAUCUGGUUAAGCUCACCGUCUACGGCUUCCAACCUGAGGACAACUUUGUGCGAUACGUUAGGCGCAUGA